rnacentral:rRNA from 1 species
CAGAGUGGAUCCUGAGUACGGCGGAACACGUGAAAUUCCGUCGGAAUCCGGGAGGACCAUCUCCCAAGGCUAAAUACUCCCUAGUGACCGAUAGUGAACCAGUACCGUGAGGGAAAGGUGAAAAGCACCCCGGAAGGGGAGUGAAAUAGAUCCUGAAACCGUGUGCCUACAAGUAGUCAGAGCCCGUUAAAGGGUGAUGGCGUGCCUUUUGUAGAAUGAACCGGCGAGUUACGAUCCCGUGCAAGGUUAAGCAGAAGAUGCGGAGCCGCAGCGAAAGCGAGUCUGAAUAGGGCGCAUGAGUACGUGGUCGUAGACCCGAAACCAGGUGAUCUACCCAUGUCCAGGGUGAAGUUCAGGUAACACUGAAUGGAGGCCCGAACCCACGCACGUUGAAAAGUGCGGGGAUGAGGUGUGGGUAGGGGUGAAAUGCCAAUCGAACCUGGAGAUAGCUGGUUCUCUCCGAAAUAGCUUUAGGGCUAGCCUCAAGGUAAGAGUCUCGGAGGUAGAGCACUGAUUGGACUAGGGGCCCCUACCGGGUUACCGAAUUCAGUCAAACUCCGAAUGCCGAUGACUUAUCCUUGGGAGUCAGACUGCGAGUGAUAAGAUCCGUAGUCGAAAGGGAAACAGCCCAGACCGCCAGCUAAGGUCCCAAAGUAUACGUUAAGUGGAAAAGGAUGUGGAGUUGCUUAGACAACCAGGAUGUUGGCUUAGAAGCAGCCACCAUUUAAAGAGUGCGUAAUAGCUCACUGGUCGAGUGACUCUGCGCCGAAAAUGUACCGGGGCUAAACGUAUCACCGAAGCUGCGGACUGUUCUAACGAACAGUGGUAGGAGAGCGUUCUAAGUGCUGUGAAGUCAGACCGGAAGGACUGGUGGAGCGCUUAGAAGUGAGAAUGCCGGUAUGAGUAGCGAAAGACGGGUGAGAAUCCCGUCCACCGAAUGCCUAAGGUUUCCUGAGGAAGGCUCGUCCGCUCAGGGUUAGUCGGGACCUAAGCCGAGGCCGAAAGGCGUAGGCGAUGGACAACAGGUUGAUAUUCCUGUACCACCUCCUCACCAUUUGAGCAAUGGGGGGACGCAGGAGGAUAGGGUAAGCGCGGUAUUGGAUAUCCGCGUCCAAGCAGUUAGGCUGGGAAAUAGGCAAAUCCGUUUCCCGUGAAGGCUGAGCUGUGAUGGCGAGCGAAAUUUAGUAGCGAAGUUCCUGAUUCCACACUGCCAAGAAAAGCCUCUAGCGAGGUGAGAGGUGCCCGUACCGCAAACCGACACAGGUAGGCGAGGAGAGAAUCCUAAGGUGAUCGAGAGAACUCUCGUUAAGGAACUCGGCAAAAUGACCCCGUAACUUCGGGAGAAGGGGUGCUUCUUAGGGUGUUAAAGCCCCGAGAAGCCGCAGUGAAUAGGCCCAGGCGACUGUUUAGCAAAAACACAGGUCUCUGCGAAGCCGUAAGGCGAAGUAUAGGGGCUGACGCCU